UGAGAAUGAUUACUAUGUGGGCGUUGUACAAAGCCUGAGUAGACAGAAGGGGGUUGAUCAAGCUCCAGCACAACGUCCCCUCAGUCCAAGACUAGGUGGUAGCCAACUUGAACCUCAUGUCUCCCGCAAGAAAGCCCCAGCCUCUGGUGACAAUUGGAGUAUUGGGAUGAAGGCCAAGAAAGUAUGGGACCAGGAUAACUACUUUGGGCCCUGUGAUGUUCCUCCCAAGUAACAGGAGAGAGUACACCUGUAUCUCCACGGAUGAGUGGAGAUAUCGAUAAACCUGGCUUCCCUGCCUCAACAGGGGACAGGAAGCCCGUAUCGCCUGGCAGUCGUGUUGAGUAGCAUCGACUUCAAGAGAGUUCCAGGACCUUAUUUUGCCAAUCCCAAAAUGCGGUUUCUCCCUUGGGUCCGACCCUCGGACCCAACAACAAGCACGGUCUCGUUAGCUCUGCAACAUAUGAUGGCUUCAUCAGGCGGAAAGAACUAAUCGCCCAAAGAGUA